AUGGUGGCAGAGGUGAUGCCCGAGGAUGGUGCCAGGAUGGUGGCAGAGGUGAUGCCCGAGGAUGGUAUCAGGCUUUCCUGGGACAAACCUGGAGAAGAAAUGACAAGCAGUAGGCAUCCUGGUCAGAUUCAAAACGUGGUGCUUUGUAAGAUUUGCGAAACUGUCAUACUGAAGUUGAAAAGGUCUAUUGGUCACACAAACCUUACGAAGGAGAACGUUCUUCGAAAGCUCAAAGGAAUCUGUCCAAACAUAAGUGGGUUGAAAAAGAGGUGCCAAAAUUUUGUAGCAAGAAACACAGUCAAAU